AGAAAUAAGAGUCUGGGAGGUCACCCCCAUUAAUUGUCAGGGUUGAUUCAGCUGAUCUAGCUGGUGGAUGUCCCCAUCCUUCUCCAACGUUCCAUGUGCAUCCCUCUGGAAGCUGCACCAUGGAUUGAAGAGAAUGACUCCUUGGACAGAGGAGGAGCUUUUCCUCAGUCAAGGAUAUGCAAGCUGCUGCUUUCCCCUGCUAGAACCUCUGAACAAACCCUCGAGGUCAAAGCAAGACCUGACCAAAAAAUCCUGAGUCUAACAGAGAAGGAGGAGGCAAGGGCUCUGUGAAAGAGAGAUGUGUGCUUCUU
ensembl:misc_RNA 7SK 7SK RNA